rnacentral:tRNA from 1 species
GCGAAAGUGGCGGAAUUGGCAGACGCCCUGGUUUUAGGUACCAGUGCCGCAAGGCGUAGGGGUUCGAGUCCCCUCUUUCGCACCA